GCAGGCCGCCCCCUCCUUUCUCCGCGCUCGCUCCCGGUCGACAUGGCGGCCGGGCCGCAGGUGAGCAUAGCAUGGUGUCAAGCAAGGGUAAAAACACUCACCUGCCUGGGAAGCUGAUUCCUUCACUGGACUGUCAGUAAACCUGCACCAGCUGCACAAUGAAGAGGUGGAGAAGAAGUGAGCAGAGGACAGACUUUAUACAGAGUACUGUUGCUAACAGUGUUCAAUACAACUUGUGUUUAGGAGGAAAUUGUCCUGCAGAAUCCUGGGGUUGUACUGUUGCCCAAAGACAGCUUUGGCAAGAGGACAGCUGCUAAGCUGGGCUUCAAGCUGAAGAAGGCUGAACCAGCAAACUCAACAACAGACUUCUUGACAAGUCAAGAAGCAACGGAAGGAAGAUUGUUCUGGAGCGGGUCUCACAAAUGAUACCGUCAUUUGAAACAGUGUAAAAUGACCACUUGGGCGUAACCGCAGGCUUCUCGCUGCUCAGCGUUUGCUGCAACCACAUCAUGGGACCUGGUCUACAGCUGGCUGGAGGAAAAAGUGGUUCCCUGCUGUCUUCUGUUCCAGAAUAAAAUAAGUUAUGGA